rnacentral:rRNA from 1 species
CCUACGGGUGGCUGCAGUGGGGAAUAUUGCACAAUGGGCGCAAGCCUGAUGCAGCCAUGCCGCGUGUGUGAAGAAGGCCUUCGGGUUGUAAAGCACUUUCAGCGGGGAGGAAGGCGUUAAGGUUAAUAACCUUGUCGAUUGACGUUACCCGCCGAAGAAGCACCGGCUAACUCCGUGCCAGCAGCCGCGGUAAUACGGAGGGUGCAAGCGUUAAUCGGAAUUACUGGGCGUAAAGCGCGCGCAGGCGGUCCGUCAAGUCGGAGGUGAAAUCCCCGGGCUCAACCUGGGAACUGCAUUCGAGACUGGCAGGCUAGAGUCUUGUAGAGGGGGGUAGAAUUCCAGGUGUAGCGGUGAAAUGCGUAGAGAUCUGGAGGAAUACCGGUGGCGAAGGCGGCCUCCUGGACAAAGACUGACGCUCAAGUGCGAAAGCGUGGGGAGCAAACAGGAUUAGAUACCCUAGUAGUC